rnacentral:rRNA from 1 species
AUUGAACGCUGGCGGCAGGCCUAACACAUGCAAGUCGAACGAGUGGCGGACGGGUGAGUAAGGUCUGGGAAACUGCCUGAUGGCGGGGGAUAACUACUGGAAACGGUAGCUAAUACCGCAUACCAUCAAUUGAGCCCAGAUGGGCGGAGCUUGUUGGUGGGGUAACGGCUCACCAAGGCGACGAUCCCUAGCUGGUCUGAGAGGAUGACCAGCCACACUGGAAGUGAGACACGGUCAAAACUCCUACGGGAGGCGGCAGUGGGUAAUAUUGCACAAUGGGCGCACGCCUGAUGCAGACAUGCCGCGUGUAUGAAGAGGGCUUUCGGGUGUUAAAGUACUUUCAGCGGGGAGGCGUUACCCGCAGAAGAAGCACCGGCUAACUACGUGCCAGCAGCCGCGGUAAUAC